rnacentral:rRNA from 1 species
UACGAAGGGGGCUAGCGUUGCUCGGAAUGACUGGGCGUAAAGGGCGCGUAAGCGGUUUGUACAGUCAGGUGUGAAAUUCCCGGGCUCAACCUGGGGGCUGCACUUGAUACGUAGGAACUGGAGUGGGGAAGAGGGUCGUGGAAUUCCCAGUGUAGAGGUGAAAUUCGUAGAUAUUGGAAAGAACACCGGUGGCGAAGGCGGCGACCUGGUCCUUGACUGACGCUGAGGCGCGAAAGCGUGGGGAGCAAACAGG